rnacentral:piRNA from 1 species
UUGGAUUUCCCAGAGAGCCGAGU